ensembl:lncRNA
AUGAGGGCAUCCUGCCUCCAGCUCUGCAUUAACCCUCUCCUAGGAUGCGGUCCUCCUGCCCGGCUGCGUGUUUUGGGACUGCUUUCACCCACCAGGAUGAGGACUGCUCAGGUGCCCUACAAACCAAAGCCAGCCCAGAACAUCCACCAGUGGGAUCUGAGCUCUCCUGCCAUGCCUGUGCCACCCUGCAGCCAGUGGCCAAAGGGCACGCUCAGCUUCCCAGCCUCACCCAAGUCAAACUCCAGCCAAGACCUAAAUAAAACUAGAGAGCGUCAGACAACUCCUCCUAGCAGCAAUUCAGCUUAGGGAACGAGGAACGAGCCAGCAUGAAGUUUGGGAAGAGAGCUAUUUGCAAGUAAUAAAAGCAAAAAACCUACUGAAAUUCAUUUCCUUUCUAAUGGCCUGGGUGACUGGGAGAGGGUGGAUUUUUUUUCAUAAUUAUCAGAGCUAGGGAGAGAUGUUGCGGACGGGGUGUUAAUUAGAACCAAUAUACUUGGGUAUAUUGCAUUUCAUUAGGAGAGUAAAUAACCCCAGCAGAUUUUAAUCCCGCUGGCAGCAGGCCAAGCGCUGCCGAGAGAUUAUCUCUGAGGGUUAAAAGUAGGCCAAAGAGCUAAAAGCAGCCUUUCAUGAACGGAGAAGGCCAAGGAUCCAGGCUAGAAGUGGUCGGCCAAAGCUCGGGGAUAAUCAUAUUGAAAUCCUCAGCAGAAAGUACAUUAAAAUGAGAUAAAUCACAAUUGCCUGGUUUCUGUGGGAGGGCAGGCAGGAAGGAGGGAGCUGAAUCCAGACACUUCAACCCCAAAGACAAAUGCAGCUCAUGUUAUUUGCCUUAUCAACCCCAUGGAAAUGAAGCACCCAGGUCGAACUGAGCUGUGUGAUCACACUGCCGAAGCUGAGGGUGACCCAGCAAUGAGCAACGACGUCCUCGUGGUGCUGUACCACCUCCAGGUACCACGGUGAGGUCAUCCUAAAGUCCCCAGGAGCAGCAUCCCUCUGGAUGACAAUCCCCUUCUGGCCAGGAAACAGUCAAAGGGGACAAACAGGAUGACUGUGUUGUGGUUUUAAACCAGCCCCAUCCCCCUGGCAGGGUUCAGUGUGUAGGGACUGAAAUACAACUGGGAGAACCUUCUCUUGUGGACACACCCAUGAAAGUGAAAAUGAGAGGUGUAGAUUUAAACCAUGACCAGAUUUGUCCCCUUGAGGUAACAGCACCCAGCCCUACUGAGGCCCAUGGUGCAGUGGCCCUGAAAGCAAGGAGUUGUCCCUAGGCCCAGCAGGACGUACCCAGCAGGACUUUGCCAAGGGAGCAUGGGCUCAGGUGGCAGCAAGGAAAGGGGACAUACAGGGGUAAGAAGCAACCUGGCUUCUCUCCUGGUCAGUAUCCCACCACAGAAACGUCAGCAGAGGCUUUGAAAGCAGUUGGAAGGGACACGAGCAAACAAGGAUGCUUUGCCCACCUUCAUCUUCCCCUCUGCUCCCAGAUAAAUGAGCACUGGUCAUAUGGUCUUUGGGUAAACUGAUCUCUGUUUGAAGGGGCACAGCAAAACAUCGUGCUCUGCAACUGCAGAUCUAUGCAAAAAGGUGCAAACGAAAGGAAGAAAUAAGCUGGAGCUGUGACAUUCUGGCAGCACUAGGAAGCAAAAAGCAUUGAAAGAGGUUAAGAGGGUCUGUGGUUGGCGUGAAUUUCUGUGUCCCGCUCUUCACCUGGCUCUUCACUGUCAGCAGCUUCUGAAUGCAGAAAAUCAGCUCUGAAAAGCUGAAGUACCAAAACUUCACUCCAUAAAAGAGGGAGAAAAUCAUUUUUGUCCCUUCUCCUUGGGAGCGUGAGCUGGAAUCACUCGGUUAGCUGCUUUGGGAGGGACUGGAGUGGUACGAUAAGAUGGCUGGGAUGCUCUGACAUAGCCUAAUUCAAUUAAAACACGGUUUUAUCCUGAGAAGGGACCCAGAUUCUUCGCCAGUGAUGGCACAGAGGCGCACACCAAGCAACCACAGGAGGGAAUUACACCAUUUCAUGAUCUCAGCGACGAGCAAAGGCAGUCUAACCCCCAGCGCCCACAGUCAUGACAUCAGUGCCGGUCCCACAGGGCAACUGGUGGAUUUCUUUGGUUGGAGGAACCAGGGAAACCAGAGCUUGCUAAAUAAAUUAGAGAACUGGAGAAGAGCACAAACAUACAGGCACAGAAGUAUCCCCAUCCGCCCUGCUGCAGCGGAUACGAAAAGCCUCAGAGC